UGGCCGGACAGCGCCGAUUUGAUCCGGCUUGCGGGCGCUCUAGAAAUGCCGCUAAAGAGGUACACCCGAUCAAUCC
rnacentral:ncRNA from 2 species